ACUCCUGCGGGAGGCAGCAGUGGGGAAUUUUGGACACUGGGCGAAAGCCUGAUCCAGCAAUGCCGCGUGAGUGAAGAAGGCCUUCGGGUUGUAAAGCUCUUUUGUCAGGGAAGAAACGGUGAAAGCUAAUAUCUUUUGCUAAUGACGGUACCUGAAGAAUAAGCACCGGCUAACUACGUGCCAGCAGCCGCGGUAAUACGUAGGGUGCAAGCGUUAAUCGGAAUUACUGGGCGUAAAGCGUGCGCAGGCGGUUUUGUAAGUCUGAUGUGAAAUCCCCGGGCUCAACCUGGGAAUUGCAUUGGAGACUGCAAGGCUAGAAUCUGGCAGAGGGGGGUAGAAUUCCACGUGUAGCAGUGAAAUGCGUAGAUAUGUGGAGGAACACCGAUGGCGAAGGCAGCCCCCUGGGUCAAGAUUGACGCUCAUGCACGAAAGCGUGGGGAGCAAACAGGAUUAGAAACCCCGGUAGUCCCAUGA
rnacentral:rRNA from 1 species